CCUACGGGAGGCAGCAGUAAGGAAUAUUGGACAAUGGUGGCAACACUGAUCCAGCCAUGCCGCGUGAAGGAUGAAGGCCCUAUGGGUUGUAAACUUCUUUUGUACGGGAAAAAAUGCUCUUCGUGUAAGAGUACUGAUGGUACCGUAAGAAUAAGGAUCGGCUAACUCCGUGCCAGCAGCCGCGGUAAUACGGAGGAUCCAAGCGUUAUCCGGAUUCAUUGGGUUUAAAGGGUGCGUAGGCGGAACGAUAAGUCAGUGGUGAAAGCCCUCAGCUCAACUGAGGAACUGCCAUUGAUACUGUCGAUCUUGAGUACAUUUGAUGUGGGCGGAAUGUGUCAUGUAGCGGUGAAAUGCUUAGAUAUGACACAGAACACCGAUUGCGAAGGCAGCUCACAAAACUGUAACUGACGCUGAGGCACGAAAGCGUGGGUAUCAAACAGGAUUAGAUACCCUGGUAGUCCACGCUGUAAACUAUGAUUACUCGAUGUUGUGAUACACUAGUAAGUACGUACUAAGACGAAGACAAUAAGUAAUACCACCGUACGGGUAGGUACGACGUCGCGAAGAGUAGAACGUACGAAAGGAAGUUAGACGGCGNGAGGACGNGCCGACGGACGACGACGAGGGAGGAGG
rnacentral:rRNA from 1 species